GGCAUUAUCACUUCACAGAAAGAGAAUAAACAGUAGGAACUAAUGAAAUUCAAAUCAGCCUAGAUCCUGGUGUCAUGAUAACACAUCUAUCUGGCUUUCAAAUCACAUCAGAAUUAUUUCUAGAUUGGAUGUAUUUAAAAGUUAUUUGACCUUCCUGAGACCUUUAAGACAUUUUGGCAUCCAUGAAAUUAUGCCCUCCAAAGAGAAGCAGAAUCAUGGACACAUCUCUGGGUCAUGCCACUAGGAACCUGCUUCCAAAAUGAAACAGUUUCAUUAAGGAUAACUUUUUGAGUCUAAUCAAUCAAAUCAUUAGGAUCAGGCUUGAACCUUAUUAAAAGAAAUUCACCCAAAAUGUAGAAUUGCACAUCCAUUAUAUCAUUUGUAAAAUAUGAGGGUUGAACUUGAUGGCCUCUAUGGACCCUUCCAGAUUUUAACUUGUGAGCCCAUAAUCCUAGCAGUUGUACAAGAGAGAAUUUAAGUGUCUUCUCCAUGGACGAAGAACUAAUAAGAAUCUGAGGAUGGAUUUAAACUCAAGUCUUCAGUGCUCAAGUCACAAUACCACCUAAAGUACCUCUAAGACAAUGAUGCAGGACUCAUCUCUCAUAUUAUGGAGCCUUUUUAGCAUUCUUGCACCUGGCCUUGAAGAGAAGUUCAUUUAUGAGCUUCACUUCCCUGAUAUAAACCGAGGAUACUUUGUGAGUGCAGCAAGUAGAGUAUCUGAAAUCAGUUUAAAAUCAAUAAUCAAAUCCAUGGCUUUAUCAGUUUUACAAUUCACCUGUUAUUUUUACUGUAUUAAAAGUAUAUUGAUAACAAUGAGUGAAUAUUUAAUAGUACUUCAAAGUUUAAGUUGGUUGGCACAUAUUAUCAAUUGAUUAGUUAAUUAAUUACCAAACAGCUAAUACAUCCUUUCACAACAGUCACUGUAAUCCUUAUUUCAUUUGAGCCUCUCAACC
rnacentral:lncRNA from 1 species